AUUGAACGCUGGCGGCAUGCCUUACACAUGCAAGUCGAACGGCAGCACGGGGGCAACCCUGGUGGCGAGUGGCGAACGGGUGAGUAAUACAUCGGAACGUGCCCAGUAGUGGGGGAUAGCCCGGCGAAAGCCGGAUUAAUACCGCAUACGACCUACGGGUGAAAGCGGGGGAUCGCAAGACCUCGCGCUAUCGGAGCGGCCGAUGUCAGAUUAGGUUGUUGGUGGGGUAAAAGCCUACCAAGCCGACGAUCUGUAGCUGGUCUGAGAGGACGACCAGCCACACUGGGACUGAGACACGGCCCAGACUCCUACGGGAGGCAGCAGUGGGGAAUUUUGGACAAUGGGCGCAAGCCUGAUCCAGCCAUGCCGCGUGCGGGAAGAAGGCCUGGUGUAACG
rnacentral:rRNA from 1 species